GAGAAACUUUUUAGUUUGAUGCAAUCUCAUUUGUCUAUUUUUUCCUUGGAUGACUGUGCUUUUGGUGUCAUACCCAAACAACUAUUUCCAAUGUUAGAUAUAAGUUCUAAAUUUCUCUUCAAUGAAUCAAUAUGUCAGUAUGUUCAAUUCUUUGCCUUCUACUUUUAAUCCUAACUUCCUUGUAAAGCAAUCUUUUUUGAUUACCUGCUCCGCCCUAACUCAUUCCAAUUAUCUGCUCCACCAUGACUCAUUCUCCACCCUGACACAUUCCAAUUUCCUGCUCUGCCAUAACCAUUUUUCCUGCCAAACCGCUCACCUCGUCACUCUCUUUAAAUUAGCCAAUCGGAAUUAGUUCAGCCUGUAAGGUCUAACCCUAGCCAAUAGGGGAAUGACACAGCAGCAGGGGCCAUGAGCAUCAGGAAUAGGAACCCCUUCCCCCCUCUUGUCCAGGUGUGUGCUCACCACUGCUCUGUCUGUAAGGGCGCACCCUUCUAUAGAAGUACAUUGCCUUGCUGAGAAUUAAAAAUAACAUUUUAUAUUUGAGUGCCAUUUCUUUUACAGCACUGAAACUUUAUUUAUAACACCAAGAACAAUGUCAAAGAAGCAUUGUCCUUUGUUUUCUUCUUGGAUUUCAGAUUUAUUUCUGUUUUUGAUGUGGAGUCUUGUCUGUUACCCAGGCUGGAGUGCAGUGUGACAAUCUCAGCUCAAUGCAGCCUUCACCUCGCAGGUUCAAGAGAUUCUCCUGCCUCAGCCUCUCCAGUAGCUGGGAUUACAGGAUCCUCUGGAUUUUGACAGUGUCUCAGAAUUUCAUUUUUGAUCGCCUUGACAGUUUGGAGGAUUAUUGGUCAGAAGUUUUGAAGAAUGUCUCUCAACUGACUUUUGUCUGUUGUUUUUCUCAUGACAAGACUAUGGUCGUGGAUUUUGGGGAUGAAUAUGACAGAGAGCCUGUGCUGUGAGCUCAACUGAUUGUCACAAAAGUAAGCUGCAUGCUUUCAAAUUAAUACAAAUCACCAAUGCUAAAAAUCCUGAAGCAUGAAUGAAGUUUGCAAUCAUACUGAUGCAGAAGGAGGAUUAGAACAUAAAGGGCUGGUUUUGUUCUGCAGUACUGACUCUUGGUAAAGGCUUCAGAUUUCAGACAUGCCUGGUCAACUUUGAUUCUCAGCAAACAACACAAGGUGGGCUCAAGAUGGGGCCUCUGAAACACACUAGUAGAAAUAUUCAGAAAUCUUAAGUUUAACUCAAGAUUUUGUAAAUUUAGUAAUACAAAUAUUCCAAGACCCAGUGAUCUCACUCUACUCUCCAGAGCUUGUUUCUUUGACAAACUACUGCACCCAAAUAAAGAUGUCAAUUAAGACUGAAGUGUU
rnacentral:lncRNA from 10 species